UACGUAGGGACCAAGCGUUGUUCGGAUUUACUGGGCGUAAAGGGCGCGUAGGCGGCAAUUCAAGUCAUCUGUGAAAUCUCCGGGCUUAACCCGGAAAGGUCAGAUGAUACUGCUUUGCUAGAGUGCGGAAGGGGCAAUCGGAAUUCUUGGUGUAGCGGUGAAAUGCGUAGAUAUCAAGCGGAACACCAGUGGCGAAGGCGAGUCCCUGGACAACUCCUGACACUGAGGCACGAAAGCUAGGGGAGCAAACAGG
rnacentral:rRNA from 1 species